rnacentral:lncRNA from 1 species
UGAAAAUAAAAAAUCUAACGGUACUGCCAGCCUGAUUCAAGUGGCAGUAGCCUUGAUUUCCUGUCAACAAUAAUUACAGGCAAAACGCCAACAAAUCACACUACCCCACGUCAUCAUAAUUGAGCUGGACCCACACAACUUCUCUUUACCUCACUCACAUACUGAUUAAUAAAUUAUCAAAAGUAAUGUAAAAAUUUUACGAUCAGUAUAGUAGUAGUAUUUCCAUAAAACGGUUUGGCUAGUGUGUGCCCAUGGGCACAUGCUAAGCGCGGAAAU